GCGGAAAUAGCUCAGUUGGUAGAGCAUAACCUUGCCAAGGUUAGGGUCGCGAGUUCGAGUCUCGUUUUCCGCU
rfam:Bacteroides coprophilus CAG:333 genomic scaffold, scf181